CCACGAAAAACCAGCAGGCAACCACUGACUGACUGGCAGCUGGAUUUGUUGGCGUGAGGACUCAGCCACUUACGAGCAGCGGCAGAAGCACCAGCAGGAGUAGCAGCAUAUUUAUACAGGCAACGCUACAAUUGUAUUGUGUAUAAGUAGUUGGUAGCAUAGACAUAGGGGUAUUCGCUUAAAAUACAACAGUAUGCAACAACAAAAAGAUAAACAGAGCAACAAAAAUCAAAAGAUAUCAUUUUAUUACGGAGAACGUACGAACAACCCUCUGCAGAACGAUUCUCGAGCGAAAAACGAAAUCAAAAAAUAAAUAAAUAAAUGCAAAAAUCAAAACAAAACGAAACAACCAAACAACAAAAAAAAAAAAAAAACAAAUUAUAAACUCAUAGCAACAACAACUCAGAGCUAAGCUGCAGUGGGUGGGGCAAAAGUAAAACAAUGCUGAGCGCAAAAUUCUUCACCCGUGAGAAUGCAGAGCAUGGAGACAGCAGGACGGUGUAGUCGGAUGAAAAAUCUCACCAGCAUCAGUAUCACGUGGUGUUGAUCCAAUUAAAACCUGAAGUAAGCGUAACUUUGUUAUUGUAAUCGAAUUGUGCGACAACAGCACGUGCUAAACACGUUUCGGGAGAGCGAAUGUACUGCUUUUGGAGAGAGCAACGUGCAAAACAGUCGCAAAGUUAUAGAACGCGCCAAAAACGUUAUGAAUGAAAGUCGUUGGAAGUGAUUUACUGCGCAUGUCCUUGAACACUACAAUUGGCGAAUUCUACCGAAGGAAAUUGUUGCGAAGCAUUUUUCGUUUCAGUUGGAGUUGAAUAUUCUAGAGACGUGGACACGUUGAUUGAAAAUUCGCAAUGCCGUUCUUCUGUGGCAAAAUUACGUAAAUGAUGGUAACUUUCAAAUGAGUUAUGCGAUAGAAUAUAACUGCGAAUCGGCAUAGUAGCUGGAUUUUUAAAUUUUUUGAAAAAUCAAUCUGAAAUUUUGCACAUGUGCUUUUAUCUCCAGGAAGCUGAUCUUUUGUCGGAACCGCCGAUAUGAGGUCACCAUAAAAACUAGUCUACUAACUAAGGAGAAGCGGAAGCGGCGCGCAUCUUAUUGUCAUACUCGAAAGGAAGCUGAUUUUAUUUUUGCAUUUGCUUAACGCCGGCCUUAAGAAAGUACAAGUAGUAUAAAUAAAUGUCGUCUGGCCAUUGGCGCAGACUAUAAAUACAAAUUUGAAUUUCAGCACAGCAUUUGGUUUUGAAUAUUUUAAUUUAAAAUCAUAAUUAAAGAGAAAGGAUAUCCGCGAUUUUUCAUUAACUUGCAACGCCGUGCUGACGCAGAGCGUUCCCGUGCCGGCGGCAAGCAUUGGUAAAUGGCUAAAACACAUACAAGCACAUUUGUGGCAAGUAAAUAUCGAGUACGUUUGAGAAAAUAAAUUAAACAUGAUUCUACCAACCGCAAAAGCACUCUGGGAGGCGUAUAGAGUGCUCACAUCUACACAAGAUGCUGUUGUCAAUCUAAUACGCGCGUUUGUAAGCGGUUAGAGGGGGCGCUAUGAAGCGAAGAAGCCAGCGCGUAGAAUAGCCGAUUGUAAUCAACAAUACAAUUCGAUGAAACAUAAUAAAAAUGUCAGUAUCAGUAACAGCAGUAGCCACAAGUGGAAGGACGUCACGUAGCAAAGGCGUCAAUUGGCUUCAAUUCGGAGUCCGGCAAACAAAAAAAUGCGCAAAAAUCCGAAACAUGCACACAAAGGCUAUUGAAAAACUUUGACAGCAGCUAGUCGCACGGAAACGACCAAACCAUCUAAGGUACAAAAACGAAAAAAGAAAGGCAUUAGAAUACAAAAAAGCCUACGAAAAAUGCCAAGGUAAAAUAAGAAAAUGGUCCAAAGUAUCUAAACAGCCAUGGGCUAUAUGCAAUGGUAAGCAGUUGGGGAAUACGGGUGUGAGGAGGUAGUAGCGUGGCGCAACGUUUGAAGCUAUUACGCUGAGGAGGCUGAAAAUUUAUGUGUUAAUUUUCAUUCACACCUUAAUACUUUAGUGGCCAUUUAUAAAAUAUUGUUGUAGGGGUGCUUUUUAUGCAUUUACGAGGGUGGGUAGUUGAGUUUGUAUUUUAUUGUGUAAUUCUUAAUACUUUUUU